UGUAAAGUACUUUCAGCAGUGAGGAAGGGGGUAUCGUUAAUAGCGGUAUCUUUUGACGUUAGSCGCAGAAGAAGCACCGGCUAACUCCGCKCCAGCAGCCGCGGUAAUACGGAGGGUGCGAGCGUUAAUCGGAAUUACUGGGCGUAAAGCGCAUGCAGGUGGUUUGUUAAGUCAGAUGUGAAAGCCCGGGGCUCAACCUCGGAAUUGCAUUUGAAACUGGCAGGCUAGAGUACUGUAGAGGGGGGUAGAAUUUCAGGUGUAGCGGUGAAAUGCGUGKAGAGMUGAAGGAAUACCGGUGGCGAAGGCGGCCCCCUGGACAGAUACUGACACUCAGAUGCGAAAGCGUGGGGAGCAAACAGGAUUAGAUACCCUGGUAGUCCACGCCGUAAACGAUGUCUUYCUUGGAGGUUGUGGCCUUGAGCCGU
rnacentral:rRNA from 1 species